rfam:Oryza brachyantha chromosome 5, whole genome shotgun sequence.
CUGUGAAUUACAGGGCGGUUUCUCCUUUGGCACGCAUUCGUCAUGCCAUGCAGCUGAAUCUACAGCUACUAGACAUGCGUGCCAAAGGAGAAUUGCCCUGCGAUUCACCA